UGUUAUUCCUGGCUAACACAUUAAAUACCAAGGUCUAGCCGUGGAUCUAAUCACUAGUAAUAGUUUCAAAGUAGUGAUGUAAUUGAUCUUUUGAGAUACGUGCCACAACCGUAAAGUGAGACGAGAAUAUCUGUGAUUUCUGUCAGUGACCAAGUCACAGCUAAUUCUACUGGGGUUUUGGGGCCUACAUUCAUAAUUAAAGGAGACACUGAAUUAUAGUUAGAGGUUAGUGAAAAAUCAAGCUGUGAUUCCCUCAUCCUAGUUCACAGAGCCCUUAAUUCUCUCUAGGACCCCAGUUAUGAACUUCAGCAUUAGAGCUUGAAGAUCCUCACAUCUUCUUUCUUGUUAGCAGCUGUGUAGUAUUUCGUUGAAUUGAUGCACCCUUAUUUAAUCCUACUAAGAGACGUUUAGGUUGUUUCCAAUCUUUUGCUAUGACUGCUAACUUAAUUUCCUGAAGGUUUCUCCUGCUAAGGUUUUCUUCUCAAGCAGGGCCACUACGCCAAUCCCACUGCAUUCAGGAUAGACCCUUAGCCAGUCUGCGGAGGAUGUCUGGUAGAUGCAAUCCAUGGAACACUCCACGUGGACUUGGCUGUUUCUCCGCAUUCAUGGACAAUUAAUUUCCAGCUAUAAUCCAGUUUCCCACCAAACACUGAGUUGCCUCCCAACGCUGUCGACCACUUGCUGGAACAAUUGUCCCCCCUUUGCAUGGGAAAGCAAGAUAUCAUGACACUUUGUUCUGAUGUGCAAAACAUACCUGGUUUUGAGACCCUGGCCAUUUCCAUUGUCAGUCUUUAAUUAAAU
rnacentral:lncRNA from 1 species